CUCUUAUCAAGAGAGGUGGAGGGACUGGCCCUAUGAAGCCCGGCAACCACGAUAUAUAUCUUAUAUCGAAGGUGCCAAUUCCUGCAACACAUAAGUGUUGAAAGAUGAGGG
rfam:Clostridium formicaceticum strain ATCC 27076, complete genome.